rnacentral:misc_RNA from 1 species
GGCCCGGCUCAUUUUCUUAAGAUGAUUAUACAAACAAAAAUAAAUUGUUUCUCUAGAAAUUAAGAUGCAGCCAAGUCCACAGCAUUAGCAGUGGGACUUUCCCAGACUGGGCCCAUGGACAUACAGACCAAAUGUCAGAGAAAUGUGAUGAAUCUAAAGUGUGUAUGGCUUAGUAGCUUACCGAUGUCCCACCAUGAGCCCAGUA